AAAUUGUACUAAGGAUGUGGUACUUCAGGACCAAGAAUUGUAUAUGCUUCAAGCAACUUAAAUCUUUCAAGUUAAGUCAUAUAAGCCAUCUAAUAGACUUUAGAUGCAUAUCAAGUUUUCAUGUCAUGCCGGACAAAUAGAUAUCGAAAACUGAUUACACAUACCUUUGACUUUAUACUUUCAGUAUUUGAACUACAUGUCCAAAACUAC
rnacentral:lncRNA from 1 species